ensembl:lincRNA
GAAGGCUUCAGUUAAAUCCUGGCUCCGCUAUUACAUAAUGCCGGGCAAUUUAUUUAGCCCUUCUGAACUCUGUUGUUUAAUCUGUUAGUUGGGACUAAUAGCAUUCUUGUCUUAUAGAAUUAACAGGAGUAUGGAACGAUUAAUACAUCUAAAGGCCUCGGAACAGGGUGGGAGCUACAUCAGUGUUCUCUGAUGCUGCACUUACGGACUGGUGUUUUUUCUCCAAAUCUUUCAUAAAAUAUUGAUACAACCACACAUCUUCACAGUGUUUCUUAAAAGCACAAGUUCUCAGUUACUUGUUAAAUGUAAUCUGCAAUGCUGGAUGCCAGAAGAACAAAUAAUAAAGAAACAAAA